rnacentral:rRNA from 1 species
UACGUAGGGUGCAAGCGUUGUCCGGAAUUAUUGGGCGUAAAGAGCUCGUAGGCGGCCUGUUGCGUCCGCUGUGAAAUCCCGGGGCUCAACCCCGGACUUGCAGUGGGUACGGGCAGGCUAGAGUGUGGUAGGGGAGACUGGAAUUCCUGGUGUAGCGGUGGAAUGCGCAGAUAUCAGGAGGAACACCGAUGGCGAAGGCAGGUCUCUGGGCAUUAACUGACGCUGAGGAGCGAAAGCAUGGGGAGCGAACAGG